UACAGAGGGUGCAAGCGUUGUUCGGAAUUAUUGGGCGUAAAGGGUGCGUAGGCGGUUUGGUAAGUCUUGUGUGAAAUCUACAGGCUCAACUUGUAGUCUGCACGAGAAACUGCCGGGCUUGAGUAUGGGAGAGGUGAGUGGAAUUCCUGGUGUAGCGGUGAAAUGCGUAGAUAUCAGGAGGAACACCAGUGGCGAAGGCGAUCAUCUGGGGUUGUUCUGACACUGAGGAGCGAAAGCUAGGGGAGCAAACGGG
rnacentral:rRNA from 1 species